rfam:Otolemur garnettii contig123858, whole genome shotgun sequence.
AAUGCACAUGUCUCUAAAUUUACUAGAUGUUUUGAUGAAAGUACAUUUGAACCCCUUUCCAUCUGAUUACUAAAGGAAAAAUAAGU